rnacentral:lncRNA from 1 species
GUACUCAGAAUAUUAGUUAAAAAUGCAUUGGGAUCUACAAAAGUAGUGUUAAUUUAAAUAGGAAAUUUUUUCUCACCAUAUAUAUCAAUGUUUCCCACAUGUUCAAGAGAUGAGAUAAAAUUGAUUUGUUCACAUUCAAUUUUUCGAAGAAAAAUUUUUUUUUGUGGAUCUACAAAAAUUAGAUGUUCGAAGGCUGGGUGCGAAAGUCCAGCCAUAAUAAUAAAUCUAAACUAUUCUUUAUUUAUUAGCCUUUUCAUGUUUUCAUUUUGCCUCAAUGCAGGGCCUGAUUGGGUAUAAUCAGUCCAGUCAACUUAGAUCUGGCACUGAGAAGUACAGUAUACUUGGGCACUCUUUAAUCAAAUAAGAUUCCUGGCCUAGAGGGAUUUACUCAAAUUGUCUCACUUGCUCUAUUUAAUUCUCUUCCAAUAGCCAUAUGAAGAAAUAUUUAAAUAUUCUAAUAAAUUUUCUAUUUUUUGUAAGUGAUAAAUUUGUAUUAAUAUGAAUUAUUUUAUUCUUUAUAAAUAAACAAAUGAACAAUAUAACAAUAAAACAAAUGAAAAAUAUUCAGG